CCUACGGGAGGCUGCAGUGAGGAAUAUUGGUCAAUGGACGAGAGUCUGAACCAGCCAAGUAGCGUGAAGGAUGACUGCCCUAUGGGUUGUAAACUUCUUUUAUAUGGGAAUAAAAUGUUCCCCGUGGGGGAUUUUGUAUGUACCAUAUGAAUAAGGAUCGGCUAACUCCGUGCCAGCAGCCGCGGUAAUACGGAGGAUCCGAGCGUUAUCCGGAUUUAUUGGGUUUAAAGGGAGCGUAGGUGGAUUGUUAAGUCAGUUGUGAAAGUUUGCGGCUCAACCGUAAAAUUGCAGUUGAAACUGGCAGUCUUGAGUACAGUAGAGGUGGGCGGAAUUCGUGGUGUAGCGGUGAAAUGCUUAGAUAUCACGAAGAACUCCGAUUGCGAAGGCAGUUCACUGGACUGCAACUGACACUGAGGCUCGAAAGUGUGGGUAUCAAACAGGAUUAGAUACCCGAGUAGUC
rnacentral:rRNA from 1 species